GGAACCUGGAAUUCAAACGGCUGGGGCCUCACUCACGGCAUAUGGAACUAACCACGCCCCUAACUAAGAAGGCACACCUUAGUUGCAGUUAGCACACAAUUAAAGCAACUCUCCAAGUUUUACCUUAAAGUUCAAAAUUGCUAGGAGUUGAAACUACUAGAAAUAUAUUUACAUGCAAGAGUCAAAGAAACUUUGAACUAUUUAUGGCCUUUAAUAAUUAAGUAAGGUAUACUCCUGUGAUCAAGACUUGGAGCAUAUUUGUUUCUCUCUGCCUGGUUCCUCUAGAAAUUGGAAACUAUCAGAACAGAGACCAACUCCGUUUCCCGAUCCCUUUGCAAUCUGCAUUGAACCAUGAGUCAAGUUCUUGAUAAAGGAGUGAAAAUGGUAAGUCUAAAGCAAUGAAAAGCUGCUGUAUUGACUACACAUGCCUUCAUUUCUUCUACCCUGCUUCUUUCAUGCCUGCUUAUCUGAAUGACACCAGGAUGACAUUUAAGGCACAUCUGAAGAUGGGGAAACCACAGCACAGAAUAAGGCUGGGCCCUUGAAUCAAUAAAUGAAGGAGAACUACUCAAGAGAACAAAACCACCAGCAAUAUCCACCUGUAUUUGUCUUUUCAUAAUGUGUGACACAUGUGCUCAUGGAUUAUUGUCCGAAGCAAGACAUGUGACCAAGCCUAACAUCAACUGGGUGAAGAGCUAUAUGUUCCUUUCUCAAGAGGCACUACAAGUGACAUGCCACUGGGCAGUGGCUGCUAUGGAAACAAGUCCUGAUGCAUGACAGAGGAGGAAAGCUAUCAGUCCUGUGGUUAAAGAGGGGACAUUUCCACUAGAUUUCCAAUUGCAUAUGGAAUCAAGAAAGAAGCAACUGGGAAUUACUUCACACAGCAAAUCUAAGGAAGAGACUGUUAAUUUGGCUUUGCCAGUUACUCCUUCUCAAGGCCCAUAAUUAAAUGUGAGUUUCUGGGCACUAAUGCAAAAGCCAGAUUUGCUCUGAGCCUGCGGGGCUUAUAAAUUGGUUGCUUUUGCAAACUGUUAUUGUUCCUUUAGGUCAAGAGGGGAAGAAUUAUUGACUUUGUUCAGUUGAAUUAAAUGCUCCCCUUGUGGUUUGAAAGAAGAAAUUUGCCUCCCUCACCCUCUAAGAUUACAUACAAAGGGAGAAUUGUUUUUGGGCAAGUUAGACUUGAUGAAAAAAUAUACAGUUCUACUGGA
rnacentral:lncRNA from 1 species